rnacentral:rRNA from 1 species
GACGAACGCUGGCGGCAGGCCUAACACAUGCAAGUCGAGCGGAGCGGCGGACGGAUGAGUAAUGCCUAGGAAUCUGCCUGGUAGUGGGGGAUAACGUCCGGAAACGGGCGCUAAUACCGCAUACUAUCAGAUGAGCCUAGGUCGGAUUAGCUAGUUGGUGGGGUAAAGGCCUACCAUGGCGACGAUCCGUAACUGGUCUGAAAGGAGGAUCCGCCACACUUGAACUGAGACACGGUCCAGACUCCUACGGGAGGCAGCAGUGGGGAAUAUUGGACAAUGGGCGAAAGCCUGAUCCAGCCAUGCCGCGGGGGUGAAGAAGGUCUUCGGAUUGUAAAGCACUUUAAGUUGGGAGGCGUUACCAACAGAAUAAGCACCGGCUAACUUCGUGCCAGCAGCCGCGGUAAUUC